ACGACACCACAAUAAAUGUUAUUUGAACAGUAAACUAACUGGGGGCACAUAACACUGAUGUUUUUAUUGUAUGCGCAGCGCACUUGAGUAUUGUUGUCAUUGUUUUUGUUGCCGCACCGUUCUAGUUAUGCAUUCGCUCGCUCGCACUUGUUGGUGCGACUUUUCCCCAAUUGUGUUUGUUUGUUCCGUUCGCAUUCGUUCAUUGAUUUCCUAAUUAAGUUUAUAAUUAAAAUUAAUUGAAAAAUUACCCACAUACAUAUGAAAAGUGUGUUGUAACAUCGAAAAUGAAAUAGUGUCUGUGUGCCUAUUAAAGUCGAAUGAAAGCACGUUAAAAAUUUAAAUACAAAAUUGUGCCAAAAAAUACAUGACUAGCAGCAGAAGCCAAAAAGGUGGUCUCGCUUAAUGUUGCAGUGUGUGGCAACUCUAGGCAAAUGAACUGUUUUACCUGCACACAUACACGCGUAUAUAUCGUCAACACAACGGAUAAUUUAGUGGAAUUUUCGAAAAUAGCAAAGGAAAGGCAACCAUAAUCCUCCAAAGCAGCAGCCGCAGCGGCAGCGCCAAGAGCAACAACAACGCAAGCAGGCAUAAUAAUCAAAGAUUAAAUCAGGUUUAUAUGGAAGGGUUAAAAAGAGCAAAAGCAGCCUGUCACAGGAAGAAAUACACGUUUCCUAGUCGCUGAGGCACGUCUACAACAACUACAACAACAACAAAUCAGCAACAACAACGAACAACUGAUUUUGAUUACAACUACAAGGAGCGCGCGCUACACACACAUAUUCAAUCUUAAGUACGCACACAUAUGUAUGUACAUGAUUUGAGCGCACUGAAAGAGCGAGAGAGAGAGAGAGAGAGAUAGAGAGCGAACAUGUCUUUGAGAUGGUGAGAGAGAACAUGCACAGAUUAACUAGCGCGCUCAGUUUUCCGCUCAGUUCUCAUUCGAGUGCGGUACGGUUACGUCGCAUUGCUCCCACAAGGCAGCGGUGAAAAUACAACAGAAGAUUUUCCGUUGUCCGUUUUCCGCUAGGCGACGGCACAACACAGCGUAUGGGCGGCAUUUGUUUUGAAAGUAAAGUAAGAGGAAAACGAAAUAUAAACCAAAACGUCGCGACCGCACCUCGCUAACUUAUGUUUGUGAUUGUAUACGAACGUGUGUGUAUAUAUGCAUAAAGUAUAUGUUUUGAAACGAAUGUAUCACGAAGAAGGAAGCAUAAUCAAGUGAAAAAUAGUGCAAAAAUAUAAAGCAAUCGAAAAAA